GCAGAAUGCUGCAUAGUGAGUGCUGUAAGGGAUGGCAUGAAUUUGGUUCCAUACAAGUAUAUUGUCUGCAGGCAAGGAACUCCUCUUAUGGAUGAGGCUAUGGGCUUACAAAUUGGUUCUCCUCGGACGAGUAUGCUUGUAGUGUCUGAGUUUAUUGGUUGCUCGCCCUCUUUAAGUGGAGCAAUCAGGGUUAACCCUUGGGACAUUGAUGCUGUUGCCGAUGCCUUGGAACUAGCCAUAACAAUACCGGAGUCAGAGAAGCAGCUGCGGCAUGAAAAACAUUAUCGAUAUGUCAGUUCCCA
rnacentral:misc_RNA from 1 species